UUCUGAAGUUCAACGGUAGCAAAAAUCAACUGAGUAAACAUUACCCUUAAUAGAUUCCUUAAACUCGCCAUGUACAGUAUACAUAAUUUUGUUCAUACAAGCCUUUACCUCUUGGCAUUCAAGAAGCACUGUAACGGACUAAACGAAAGAACAGAAGGAAUGCAGAGGAAUUGGAGACCAUGGAUGGCUGGAGAUAGGAUUGAAGGCUGCACUUGAGAGAAGUUAACAGAAACUGCAUGAGAGCCUUGACAUUGUACAUGCUGAAGAGCUGCUGGGAAGACCAGCCCACCAAGGACAGAGCUUUCCCUCUGGAGACCGCUGGAGCUGAGUUCUGUGUCCCCAGGCAGGGACAUCGGUGCUUCUCACUGACUGGUUUGCUGUUAUCCCGUGGAAUGUGAGGGUCUCCUAACUGAUGGACUGGGUUUCUUGGUCUGCUCUCUCCUCUGGGAAUCAUGGCUAAAUUGGUAGCCCACCCCUAGCAAUUAUGAUUUGCACUUGUGUAAUGAUCAAUACCCCAACUCCCAGGCUUCAAGUUAAUCUCUUAACUUUUGUUUUCCCUUCGGGCUUUGUUAGUACUCAGUGGUUUUCAGUACAUUCACUAUGUUAUGCAGCCAUCACCUCUAUCUAAUUCCAAAACAUUUUCAUCACCCUAAAAAGAAAUUCCUUAUCCCAUUACACAGUCACUCUCCGUAUCCCCUUCCCAACAGCCUCUGGCACCUUCUAAUCUACUUUCUGUCUCUGUGGAUUUUCCUAUUCUGGACAUUGCCUAUAAAUGGAACCACACAGUUUGUGGUUAUUUAUGCCUGACUUUUUUCACUUAGCACAAUGCUUUCAAGGUUCGUCCAUGUUGUAUCAUGUAUGAGUACUUUAUUCCUUAGUAAUGGCUGAGUAAUAUUCCAUUUUAAUAGCUUGACCAAAUUUUGUUCAUCCAUUAUCAGUUGGUGGGCAUUUGGGUAGUUUCAUUACUCUUUUUAAAAACUGGAGAUAGCUUUUAGCCACCUCAAAUUCUUUUUGUAAUAAGGCAGAAC